UACAGAGGUCUCAAGCGUUGUUCGGAUUCAUUGGGCGUAAAGGGUGCGUAGGCGGCGCGGUAAGUCGGGUGUGAAAUCUCGGAGCUUAACUCCGAAACUGCAUUCGAUACUGCCGUGCUUGAGGACUGGAGAGGAGACUGGAAUUUACGGUGAGCGGUGAAAUGCGUAGAUAUCGUAAGGAAGACCAGUGGCGAAGGCGGGUCUCUGGACAGUUCCUGACGCUGAGGCACGAAGCCAGGGGAGCAAACGGG
rnacentral:rRNA from 1 species